rnacentral:rRNA from 1 species
CAAUAGCGUAUAUUAAAGUUGUUGCAGUUAAAAAGCUCGUAGUUGGAUUUGUGGCGUACGGUGUGUUCCGGGCACUUGUUGUCUGAGUAACCUGCUGUUGCCAUCCUUGGGUGGAACCUGUGUGGCAUUAGGUUGUCGUGCAGGGGAUGCCCAUCAUUUACUGCGAAAAAAUUAGAGUGUUCAAAGCAGGCUUAUGCCGUUGAAUAUAUUAGCAUGGAAUAAUGAGAUAGGACUUUUUUGCUAUUUUGUUGGUUUGCGCAAAGAGGUAAUGAUUAAUAGGGACAGUUGGGGGUAUUCGUAUUCCAUUGUCAGAGGUGAAAUUCCUGGAUUUUUGGAAGACGAACUACUGCGAAAGCAUUUACCAAGGAUGUUUUCAUUAA